GGGGGGACGUUAUCGGAAUUCUGGGGCGUAAGCGCACGCAGGCGGUCUGUCAAGUCGGAUGUGAAAUCCCCGGGCUCAACCUGGGAACUGCAUUCGAAACUGGCAGGCUUGAGUCUUGUAGAGGGGGGUAGAAUUCCAGGUGUAGCGGUGAAAUGCGUAGAGAUCUGGAGGAAUACCGGUGGCGAAGGCGGCCCCCUGGACAAAGACUGACGCUCAGGUGCGAAAGCGUGGGGAGCAAACAGGAUUAGAUACCCUGGUAGUCCACGCCGUAAACGAUGUCUACUUGGAGGUUGUGCCCUUGAGGCGUGGCUUCCGGAGCUAACGCGUUAAGUAGACCGCCUGGGGAGUACGGCCGCAAGGUUAAAACUCAAAUGAAUUGACGGGGGCCCGCACAAGCGGUGGAGCAUGUGGUUUAAUUCGAUGCAACGCGAAGAACCUUACCUGGUCUUGACAUCCACAGAAGAAUCCAGAGAUGGAUUUGUGCCUUCGGGAACUGUGAGACAGGUGCUGCAUGGCUGUCGUCAGCUCGUGUUGUGAAAUGUUGGGUUAAGUCCCGCAACGAGCGCAACCCUUAUCCUUUGUUGCCAGCGGUUAGGCCGGGAACUCAAAGGAGACUGCCAGUGAUAAACUGGAGGAAGGUGGGGAUGACGUCAAGUCAUCAUGGCCCUUACGACCAGGGCUACACACGUGCUACAAUGGCGCAUACAAAGAGAAGCGACCUCGCGAGAGCAAGCGGACCUCAUAAAGUGCGUCGUAGUCCGGGAUUGGAGUCUGCAACUCGACUCCAUGAAGUCGGAAUCGCUAGUAAUCGUUGGAUCAGAAUGCCACGGGUGAAUACGUUCCCCGGGCCUUGUACACACCCGCCCGUCACACCAUGGGGAAGUGGGGUUGCAAAAAGAAAGUAAGGUAGCUUUAACCUUUCGGGGAAGGGCGCUUACCCACUUUUGUGAUUCAUGACUGGGGGUGAUCUAAAAAAAAAAAACCCGCCAAAA
rnacentral:rRNA from 1 species